UACGUAGGGUGCGAGCGUUAAUCGGAAUUACUGGGCGUAAAGCGUGCGCAGGCGGUUCGCUGUGUCCUGUGUGAAAGCCCCGGGCUUAACCUGGGAAUGGCCGUCGAAACUGGCGAACUGGAGUUCGGCAGGGGAGACUGGAAUUCCUGGUGUAGCGGUGAAAUGCGCAGAUAUCAGGAGGAACACCGGUGGCGAAGGCGGGUCUCUGGGCCGAUACUGACGCUGAGGAGCGAAAGCGUGGGGAGCGAACAGG
rnacentral:rRNA from 1 species